UACGUAGGGUGCGAGCGUUGUCCGGAUUUAUUGGGCGUAAAGGGCUCGUAGGCGGCCUGUCGCGUCGGGAGUGAAAGCCCACUGCUUAACGGUGGGUCUGCUUCCGGUACGGGCGGACUUGAGUACUGCAGGGGAGACUGGAAUUCCUGGUGUAGCGGUGAAAUGCGCAGAUAUCAGGAGGAACACCGGUGGCGAAGGCGGGUCUCUGGGCAGUAACUGACGCUGAGGAGCGAAAGCGUGGGGAGCGAACAGG
rnacentral:rRNA from 1 species